rnacentral:rRNA from 1 species
GAUGAACGCUGGCGGCGUGCCUAAUACAUGCAAGUCGAGCGAACGGACGAGAAGCUUGCUUCUCUGAUGUUAGCGGCGGACGGGUGAGUAACACGUGGAUAACCUACCUAUAAGACUGGGAUAACUUCGGGAAACCGGAGCUAAUACCGGAUAAUAUUUUGAACCGCAUGGUUCAAAAGUGAAAGACGGUCUUGCUGUCACUUAUAGAUGGAUCCGCCCUGCAUUAGCUAGUUGGUAAGGUAACGGCUUACCAAGGCAACGAUGCAUAGCCGACCUGAGAGGGUGAUCGGCCACACGGGAACUGAGACACGGUCCAGACUCCUACGGGAGGCAGCAGUAGGGAAUCUUCCGCAAGGGGCGAAAGCCUGACGGAGCAACGCCGCGUGAGUGAUGAAGGUCUUCUGAUCGUAAAACUCUGUUAUUAGGGAAAAACAUAUGUGUAAGUAACUGUGCACAUCUUGACGGUACCUAAUCAGAAAGCCACGGCUAACUACGUG